rnacentral:misc_RNA from 1 species
GAUGAAGAACGUAGCGAAAUGCGAUAAGUAAUGUGAAUUGCAGAAUUCAGUGAAUCAUCGAAUCUUUGAACGCACAUUGCGCCCGCCAGUAUUCUGGCGGGCAUGCCUGUUCGAGCGUCAUUUCAACCAUCAAGCCCCCGGCUUGUGUUGGGGACCUGCGGCUGCCGCAGGCCCUGAAAACCAGUGGCGGGCUCGCUAGUCACUCCGAGCGUAGUAAUACAUCUCGCUCAGGGCGUGCUGCGGGUUCCGGCCGUUAAAAAGCCUUAUUUACCCAAGGUUGACCUCGGAUCAGGUAGGAAGACCCGCUGAACUUAAGCAUAUCAAUAAGGGAGGA